GUAGGCUAAUUUGAGCAUAAAAACAAGAAAGUCCCACCCCUAUCCUACCCAGCCAUGGUGCAGAGUGGAUGCUUAAGUCCUGUCCAGUUCCAGGGGUAGUGUAGACUUUUUCAGUCUGACUUUACAGCACAUUCUAAUCAUACACUCAUUUUACAUUUUCUAUGCUCACUGUCAGCCUUUAAGAGGACAAAUAUUUCAUUCCUCCUAUGAGGAUGAGCUCCAUUCUACUGGUUUAUACCGGUGUAUCUGGGGUAACGCUCCUUCUUAGAUAAAAUUAUUAACCUGACAUCUGGCUAAUCUGUGGAUUUAGUGUAAUUUCAAUUCCACUCCUGAGAUGUAAAAGGCAUUUUGCUUACUAAAUAUGUGUUAUUUCAACACAUCAAGCAUUCUUUCCAUUAGGAUCCAGCAUGUGAUUUUCUUUCAAUUAGUAAUUGACAGGUCAGAUUCAGUUUUUCUGAACAGAGGAAGGAUCGUGAUAUGAACUGACUGACAGUGGAGCAUGCUGGGACUUGCAAAGUCAUCCCCCAUGUGACCUAGGCCCUCUGUUUCAGAGUUCCUCCUGUGGUAGCUUCAUAUGCCCUUCCACUAUCCCCACGUCCCACCCACAUCUAUUUGUUUGAGUAGUGUCAUGUGCAGCCAACAUCCCCAGUCCCUUUUAAUAAAGUAGAUCUAAGGAUGAUUAUUAGAUUUGCAGUUGUUGGUUGCCCAAAAGUCAACUUAGAGAUGAAGUGCAGGUUUCAGGCCAUAAUAAAAAAGUUUUAUCUCAGGACAAGGUCAUGGCAGCAGCAGAAACCUGAAAACUCUGAACUUCAGGAACCUGAAGUUCAGGAAGAUAGGCAUUUUCAUACAGGGCUCUGCCUCUGACCAUAUUUGUGCUCAACCUGAUUCAGCUCUUGUGUUCUCCAGGCUCCUGGCUUCUCCUCCUCUGCAGAGGGCCUGCCCUCAGGGUCCACUGGGGGGCGCUAGAGAAUUGAGCAGAAACAAAGAGGCUGGGGCUCCUCCCAGCACCACCCCUUCUGGUAAACAGCUGGGUGGUCUUCUCAGGCAGCUCCUCAGUUCCUUCUCCUUGUCUCUGACUCAGUCAGGAGGAUCAGGGGGAUCUAAGUCAGUGCUGGAGGUAUCACUUCCAGUUUGAGCAGGAUUUGAGUGUUGGAAGGCCUUUCUUCUCCUCUUAUCAUCUGGUCCUUUUCCUUGUAAGCCCCAGGGAAGAAGACAUGCUGUGGGCUCUAGCCCUACUUCUAGCCAUCCUGCCUCCUGGUAAGUAUGUGGCACAGAUGUAAUGGGAUGUUGCUUUCCCCAAAAGAGCCACAACAAGGAAUUCCAUUCCCUCUUUGCCAUUAAUUUAUAUUCUUGUUACCAUUCUAGGUAGCCAAACAUCCAGGUUGGAAGGGAGAAUGAUGUCAGUCACAAGUUCACCUGGGUCAUAUGUGCCAAUCACUUGUGAUUUACGUGAAGCAAGUACCUGCAUCCACUGGUACCAAUUCAAGGAGGGGAAGGCCCCACGAUACCUUCUGUACUAUAAUCUUCUCAAUUUCAGUGUUGUGGUAGACUCAGGAAUCAUUUCAGAAAAAUAUGAUGCUAAUAAAGGCCCAGAUAGGAGAUGUAAAUUAGUAGUAUGAAAUGUGGACGAAAGUGACUCUGCUGUGUAUUACUGUGCCUACUGGACUCGCACAGUGGUUCAGACCUGCCUUUAUCUGUACUCAAAAUGUUGCUUUGACUGCUCCUAGUACACAGAUAGAGAUCAGCCCCUUCCUAUUUCCUGCACCUGACCUCACUGUAAUCUGAACAAAGGGAAACCAUGAACCCAAAGCUUAACUAUUGCCCUGUAUCUAUAACACUCCCACUAGCACUUAUAUCCUGCUCCCAUUUGCACCCCAAGACCAAACUCCCAUUCUGCUAUCUCUCAUCCUUGGUCAAGCAUCCUGGCUGACAGCAUCAUUUUCUCAGCUCUCCUAGAGCCUGGUGGAGGCUCAUUCAAUCUGCUGACUAGGAACACAAGGUCACUUAGAGUUGAUCAGUUAGAGGUGACAUGUAGGAGAACAUUAUGGAAGGCACAUUGCAUUGUAUCAUUUAUCCAAUCAUGACCAACAUAUAAUAUCUGGGUAUGACUCUAAUUCAUAACUUAAGAUUAAGAGAAAUGAUAGAAUGAAAUAUUUGGGCUUCAUGAAGACCUCAUGCAGACUGUCAUAAUUAUUGUUUUGAACAAAUUAAUAUUUCCUCCACCAUAACCAACCAUGGUACUGCUUGUAUGAGCGAGAACAUAGGAAAAGAUGAUUGUUGUAAAUAUGCUACCUUUUGUAUCUAAUUACACACGUCAGAGAA
rnacentral:lncRNA from 1 species